UGGGGAAUAUUGCACAAUGGAGGGAACUCUGAUGCAGCGACGCCGCGUGAACGAAGAAGGCUUUCGAGUCGUAAAGUUCUUUUAUAUGGGAAGAUAAUGACGGUACCAUAAGAAAAAGCCCCGGCUAACUACGUGCCAGCAGCCGCGGUAAUACGUAGGGGGCUAGCGUUGUCCGGAAUCACUGGGCGUAAAGGGUUCGCAGGCGGAAAUGCAAGUCAGGUGUAAAAGGCAGUAGCUUAACUACUGUAAGCAUUUGAAACUGCAUAUCUUGAGAAGAGUAGAGGUAAGUGGAAUUUUUAGUGUAGCGGUGAAAUGCGUAGAUAUUAAAAAGAAUACCGGUGGCGAAGGCGACUUACUGGACUUAAACUGACGCUCAGGCACGAAAGCGUGGGGAGCAAACAGG
rnacentral:rRNA from 1 species